rnacentral:rRNA from 1 species
ACGGGAGGCAGCAGUGGGGAAUAUUGCACAAUGGGCGCAAGCCUGAUGCAGCCAUGCCGCGUGUGUGAAGAAGGCCUUCGGGUUGUAAAGCACUUUCAGUCGUGAGGAAGGUGGUGUAGUUAAUAGCUGCAUUAUUUGACGUUAGCGACAGAAGAAGCACCGGCUAACUCCGUGCCAGCAGCCGCGGUAAUACGGAGGGUGCGAGCGUUAAUCGGAAUUACUGGGCGUAAAGCGCAUGCAGGUGGUUUGUUAAGUCAGAUGUGAAAGCCCGGGGCUCAACCUCGGAAUAGCAUUUGAAACUGGCAGACUAGAGUACUGUAGAGGGGGGUAGAAUUUCAGGUGUAGCGGUGAAAUGCGUAGAGAUCUGAAGGAAUACCGGUGGCGAAGGCGGCCCCCUGGACAGAUACUGACACUCAGAUGCGAAAGCGUGGGGAGCAAACAGGAUUAGAUACCCUGGUAGUCCACGCCGUAAACGAUGUCUACUUGGAGGUUGUGGCCUUGAGCCGUGGCUUUCGGAGCUAACGCGUUAAGUAGACCGCCUGGGGAGUACGGUCGCAAGAUUAAAACUCAAAUGAAUUGACGGGGGCCCGCACAAGCGGUGGAGCAUGUGGUUUAAUUCGAUGCAACGCGAAGAACCUUACCUACUCUUGACAUCCAGAGAACUUUCCAGAGAUGGAUUGGUGCCUUCGGGAACUCUGAGACAGGUGCUGCAUGGCUGUCGUCAGCUCGUGUUGUGAAAUGUUGGGUUAAGUCCCGCAACGAGCGCAACCCUUAUCCUUGUUUGCCAGCGAGUAAUGUCGGGAACUCCAGGGAGACUGCCGGUGAUAAACCGGAGGAAGGUGGGGACGACGUCAAGUCAUCAUGGCCCUUACGAGUAGGGCUACACACGUGCUACAAUGGCGCAUACAGAGGGCGGCCAACUUGCGAAAGUGAGCGAAUCCCAAAAAGUGCGUCGUAGUCCGGAUUGGAGUCUGCAACUCGACUCCAUGAAGUCGGAAUCGCUAGUAAUCGUGGAUCAGAAUGCCACGGUGAAUACGUUCCCGGGCCUUGUACACACCGCCCGUCACACCAUGGGAGUGGGCUGCAAAAGAAGUAGGUAGUUUAACCUUCGGGGGGACG